GCGCCCAUAGCUCAGCUGGAUAGAGUGACGCCCUCCGAAGGCGUAGGUCGCAGGUUCGAAUCCUGCUGGGCGCGCCA
rnacentral:tRNA from 1 species